rnacentral:rRNA from 1 species
UACGUAGGGGGCAAGCGUUGUCCGGAUUUAUUGGGCGUAAAGCGCUCGCAGGUGGUUCAUUGCGUCGUGCGUGAAAGACCCCGGCUCAACUGGGGAGGGUCGUGCGAAACGGGUGAACUAGAGGCCAGUAGGGGGAUGCGGAAUUCCGGGUGUAGUGGUGGAAUGCGUAGAGAUCCGGAGGAACACCGGUGGCGAAGGCGGGUCUCUGGGCCGAUACUGACGCUGAGGAGCGAAAGCGUGGGGAGCGAACAGG